rnacentral:rRNA from 1 species
GACGAACGCUGGCGGCGUGCUUAACACAUGCAAGUCGAACGGAAAGGCCCUGCUUUCAGGGUACUCGGGUGGCGAACGGGUGAGUAACACGUGGGUGAUCUGCCCUGCACUUCUGGAUAAGCCUGGGAAACUGGGGCUAAUACCGGAUAGGAGCCAUUUUUAGUGUGAUGGUUGGAAAGUUUUUUCGGUGUAGGGUGAGCUCGCGGCCUAUCAGCUUGUUGGUGGGGUAAUGGCCUACCAAGGCGGCGACGGGUAGCCGGCCUGAGAGGGUGGACGGCCACGCUGGACCUGAGCUGCGGCCCAGACUCCUCCGGUAGGCAGCGGUGGGGAAUAUUGCACAAUGGGCGCAAGCCUGAUGCAGCGACGCCGCGUCGGGGAUGACGGCCUUCGGGUUGUAAUCUCAUUUCGCUAGGGAAGAAGCUUUUUGUGCCGGAACCUAGAUAAGAAGCACCGGCUACCUCCGU